AUGCAUCCCACCCCAUCCCCCUUUCCCAAGAGAAACAAACGCCUCUCCGGUGGAGAGUCGGGGGCUGCUUCCCAGGAGGCGCGAGUGGGGCGGGUCCCCGAGGGAAAGCUGCUGGAGGCACGCCCCCUGGACCCCGGAGUUGGGAGUCCUGGUGACGGUGUCCCCGUUUCCGACCUCCCAGCCACCUCUCCCCGGGGCUUCGGCUCUCCAGUCCAGGAGCGGAACGGAGAGGGAUGCCUGCCUCGCGGGCUCUCGCACGUCCUUCCCGGCAAACCCGCCCCUCGCCUUCCCACCCCUAGUUACCUUAAGGAGACCGAGAGGAAAGUGCUGCUGCUCCGGCGUCCGAGCGGACGAGGGGCUUGGGGCAGCCCGACUGAGUCCCGACGCCCAGCCCAGCCGCCCGGCGCCAACGAGAAACUACUUGUUGGCGUUUUCCCGGUGCAGGUGGUUGGGCCGCUGCCCCGGGUACCGGGCUCGCACAGACAGCGCCCGCCGGCCGCCCGCGCCGCCCGCCCUCAUUCCGCGAGCGGCGGGCGCGCCCCGCGCCGACCUCGGCGCCGAGAGGCAGCAUCGCGCGGGGCUGGGCGGACCAUGGAGCUCGGGGCGGGCCCCGCCGGCGCGCCGCGACCCCGCCGGCAGCGGCCGCCGAGCGGCCCACCCGAGUCUGGGGGGCUCAUCCGCCCGCAGGAGAGCCCACCCGACCUACGCGGGCCGCAGGUCUCCUUCCGCCCCGCAGGCGGCCGCUGCCGGAGCCGCCCCUCCGCGCCGCUCGCCGCCGGCCUCUGCGCCCGAGCCCCGAGCUCGCGGAGCGGCGGGUGGGCGGCGGGUGGGUCUGGGGAAGCGCUGCUGUACCAACCAGGUUCAGCUCCUUUCCUUCAGGGAGACUCUGUCCCCGCCCUCUCUGGAGCGGCUGUCUGCCUUAUUUACACCCCACUCUCCACACCCUUUCUCUUCCCGCUACCCCACCCCUCCCAACAAGUGAGAGCGAAAAUCUGAGACCAAGUGUGUUUUUUUAUGUUUGUUUUUGUUUUUUUUCUUAAUGGCAGCUGAAGGGAGCAAGCUCUACUUACAGGUGACAAGUGAGUCCGGUCCCUUGCGUCUUAACCAUGGCUAUGGCUUGCUCUUUUCAGUGAAAUGUAGGUCUCCAGUCAGCACAUCAUGGUUAUAUAAAACAAAACAAGUUUUAAAAGUUUAUUCCAGGAACAUAAGGCUCUAGCAAGUGAAAAUUCAGGUUUAUCAGAAGCUUAAAAAGACAAACUACAGAUAUCCAAGUACCAAAGCAGUGAUCUCAUUAGCCGGUUUCUCCCUUUCUAAAAAUUUUAUUGGGCCCUGUAUUAGUUUGCUAGGGCUGUCAAUAAUAGAGUACCACGAACUGGAUUGUUUAAGCAGCAGAAAUUUAUUAUCCCCCAAUUCUGGAAACUCAAAGCUCCAAAUGAAGGUGUUGUCAGGGUUGGUUUCUUCUGAGGGCUGUGAGGAAUGGGUCUCUCCCAAGCCUUUCUCCUUGGUUUAUAGAUGGCUGUCUUCUCCCUUUGUCUGUACCUCAUUUUCCCUUUAUGCACGCCUGUCUCUGAACAAAUUUCUCCUUUAAACACUAGUCAUACUGGAUUAGGGCCCACUUUCAUGAUUUCAUUUUAACUUAAUUACAUCUGUAAAGACCCUAACCCCAAAGAAAGGGGCACUCUGAGGUACUGGAGGCUAGGAGUCCCACAUCUCUUUUUUGGGGCCGUGAUGAUUUGGGGGAGGUUUGAGGGGAAGCCUGAGACACAGUUCAACCCAUAUUAGAUCUUACCACCAAAUAGAGGGUGUGUUUCUGUGACUGUGCCUAUAUUUCUAGAAAGAAAAGGAUGGAGAAGAGCGAUCAUGGUCCAUGGAGGUAGUUUGAUAGGCUUGAAGUCCGUGGAGUAGGUGAGACACCAGGUUGUAUGUAGAAGGAAGUGCCUGAAAAACAGAUACUAACAUAGACACUAUGGAAAGAGCAAGAGUUGUGAGUUACUAAUGGAAACGUUUUAGCAAUAUACAAGACUACAAGAUAGGCAAUUAACUAUAAACAAUUCACUAAAGAAAAUUCCUACCUGUUAUGACUGUAAAUACCUAAACAAAGUGAAGAAAGAUCUUUGGAAGGGCACUGAUGUCCAGGAAACUAAUGCCAGAAAAUAUGGUAAGUAUACAUUUGUAAGAAAUUUACUAACAGUAUGACAGUAAAUGUGUAAUAAUAACCUACCUAGCCUUGUGAAAGUAUAAAUUUGUUUUACUAACAUGUAAAGAAAUGUAACACUUAAAUACUGAGGUAAUAAUUCUAGUUACAAAGUCAUGGAGCCAUUUCCUAAAAGAACAGUAAUAGUAUAUUCAGUUGUCAGAAAUUUACAAAGAAAAAUUAUAUUCAAAUUCUAA
rnacentral:lncRNA from 1 species